rnacentral:lncRNA from 1 species
GAGGCAAGAAGAAAUAGAACGUUACAGUCCUCUGGGACUCUGAGCCCUUGACCAUGACCUUCUGGAUGUGGCCAUCCAACCAAUUCCUAAUCCACCUAACAGUCCGCCCAUUGAUUCCAUCUCUCUUGGAGAAAAGGAUGUUGUGGGGGACCUACAACAUAGUGUGUCAUAGGCUUUACAGACGUCCAGAUAAAUGACAUCUGUUACCCUUCUCUUGUCCACUGAUGUAGUCACCCCAUCAUAGAAGGCUUCUGGGCUGGUGUCAUGAUCCACAAGGCGGGAUUUGUGAUGUGGUUCUUUUAUUCAAUCUCAGAGUACAAAAGAUUAUCAGCAAACCAGGGACUCAAACAGCAAAACACACUUUAUUGAGUGCUCAUCAGCACUAAUAUGCAAUAGAGGGAAAAGAGGAGAAAGCAAAGCAUAAGAAAAAGAGAAUAAGGGGAUUAUAGCUACCAAUGUCAAACUCCACUCAGCCGUCCAUCAACCCGGAGUCUUCUGUCUGUUGGGGAGAUUUCAAAGGAAGGGGCAGUCUCCCAGGGAUCCCUCUGACAAUCUCUCUGAAGUCUGCCUUCCUAAAGUUCAGAAGCCUGACUUUACUCCUUACUCGACCUAUAUUCCUCAACACUGCAAACUCCACCAAUGCAUGGUUGCUGCAACCUAAGUAUCUCCAAUCCUGACAUCCUCAAUUAUCUCCUUUAUGUUGGUGACCAUCAAAUCUAGUGUCAUAUUCCCUCUGGUAGGGCUGGCUAUUAUCUGGCUUAAGAAGUUACCUCUGGUAUCUUCUAGAUUGUCUACAGUUUGCCAUGCUACUUUCUACCAAUACUUCACCAAUACCAGUGCUUUUGAAGGUAAAAGGCUUUUACUGCUUCUCAGUUAAAGAUUUUUAGUUAAAGUUUUACUGCAAUCUCAGUUAAAGAUUGUCUUCCCUUCUCUCUCCUAGAACCCUUGCAAAAGAUUAAUUGUAGCCCACAAGUUGCUUGUGACAUAGACAUCACUGUAGGCAGUCUAAAUCAUUCACCA